UACGAAGGGGGGCUAGCGUUGCUCGGAAUCACUGGGCGUAAAGCGCACGUAGGCGGACUCUUAAGUCGGGGGUGAAGUCCUGGAGCUCAACUCCAGAACUGCCUUCGAUACUGGGAGUCUUGAGUUCGGGAGAGGUGAGUGGAACUGCGAGUGUAGAGGUGAAAUUCGUAGAUAUUCGCAAGAACACCAGUGGCGAAGGCGGCUCACUGGCCCGAUACUGACGCUGAGGUGCGAAAGCGUGGGGAGCAAACAGG
rnacentral:rRNA from 1 species